CUUUGGUUGAACCGCACGCCACACAUCCUUUCUUUUCCACCCCUAGCGAGGGAUGCCUUACGACUACUCGCUAUCCAACGGUGCUGUUUACGCUAUCUGCGCAAGUGCUAGGCACAACUGCUUUCAGUUAUCCCUUCUUUACCCUGGAGGUCAGAUGGAGACAAUAAGCUUUGUAACAAAACAGAAAACACCUUUAAGAAGCUGCAUCUUAAUUACUGCUUCAAACCCAGCCCACUCUUGACAAACUGGUCCGUGUGUGUAUCACGAAGCCAAAGGAGGAACUAUAAAGUGGUGAACCGUAUUGCAGGAAGUGGCACUGUACUGUUCUCACUGUGGGAAUUGAGAUUCAAAGAAAAUCUUAAGAUGGCAACAGAAUUUUCAGCAAGUCAGAUAUAUAAAACAUCUGUUGCACAAUGCAGUUACACAGAUGUUUGUAGAGCCAGACAAGCAGAACAGAUAACAUUUUAUUCCAGCAACAUGAGAUAUCAGUUAUUUUUAAGUCCAAUUUGAAGUUUUCAAUUAUUUCUAAAGUCUGAAUUAACUUGGGGCCUUGUUUGCUUAGGCCAUAAGAUCUAUCAGAGAUACCCAGCUCACAUACGGUGUAAUCUAUUUGGCUGAUGCAGUGAUAUGAAAUUUCCAGUUAAUUUUGAAGCCAUGGGAGGGGGGAGGCUUUUUCUAAACUGGAAUGUGGAUUAGUGCUAAAGUUGGAGUACCACAGAAUGUUAAUGGCUAGUACCAGGGAGAAGGAGGCCAUCCAAGCGUGGCCAGACACAAUCACUCUCUAAUACUGGGUUACAGUGCUUGGACAGAGAAGUUUUGCACAAUUGUAGUGUUGACAGGAACCUCAUGCUGCAGUAGUUACACUGCAGUGAAGACUGCUUAUGACCCGGGUUCAGGUAGCCAGCUCAAGGUUGACUCAGCAUUCUAUC